rnacentral:rRNA from 1 species
ACUCACUAGUGGCGCAGCUAACGCUUUAAGCAUUCCGCCUGGGGAGUACGGUCGCAAGAUUAAAGCUCAAAGGAAUUGACGGGGGCCCGCACAAGCGGUGGAGCAUGUGGUUUAAUUCGACGCAACGCGCAGAACCUUACCAGCCCUUGACAUCCCGGUCGCGGACUCCAGAGACGGAGUUCUUCAGUUCGGCUGGACCGGAGACAGGUGCUGCAUGGCUGUCGUCAGCUCGUGUCGUGAGAUGUUGGGUUAAGUCCCGCAACGAGCGCAACCCCCGUCCUUAGUUGCUACCAUUCAGUUGAGCACUCUAAGGAGACUGCCGGUGAUAAGCCGCGAGGAAGGUGGGGAUGACGUCAAGUCCUCAUGGCCCUUACGGGCUGGGCUACACACGUGCUACAAUGGCGGUGACAAUGGGAUGCAAAGGCGCAAGCCCCAGCAAAUCUCAAAAAGCCGUCUCAGUUCGGAUUGGGCUCUGCAACUCGAGCCCAUGAAGUUGGAAUCGCUAGUAAUCGUGGAUCAGCAUGCCACGGUGAAUACGUUCCCGGGCCUUGUACUCACCGCCCGUC